rnacentral:antisense_RNA from 1 species
AGCACCCGGGCGCGUCCGGGGCUGUGGGAGCCAAAAUUGGGGUCUUGCUGUGUCGCUCAGGCUGGAGUGCAGUGGCGUGAUCACAGGUCACUGCAGCCUUGAACUCCUGGGCUUCAGGGAUCUUCUCAUCUCAGUCUCCUAAAUAGCUGGGACUACAGGCUCAGGCCACCAUGCCUGCAUGAGGCCCUCACCAGAUACAGCCACCUGAUCUUGGACUUCACAGCCUCCAGAAAUAGAUGCCUUCUGCCACGAUUGCAAGUUCCCUGAGGUCUCCCCAGCCAUGCAGAACUUCCAGUGAUUCAAGUUUGACACACCACACCACAGUGGAUGUGCCUUGUCAUGACACAACUUCUCAGCAGCACUAGAAGAUACAUCCGAAGUCCUGUGAGCAAGGUAUGUGGUAUCUGUUUAUUAUGGCAGCCCAGUAAGACUAAGACAGGCCAUCACAAGACGUGAACGUUUUGGACCUUCUCUUGGGCCCUAGUAAACAGAAAUCAGAAGGAAGACAACUUUACUAAUGCUCUGCCAAGCCUCACUUUUCUGUCAUGAUUGGAAGGUUUGAUGUUAU